rnacentral:rRNA from 1 species
GAUGAACGCUGGCGGCGUGCCUAAUACAUGCAAGUCGAGCGAACAGACGAGGAGCUUGCUCCUCUGACGUUAGCGGCGGACGGGUGAGUAACACGUGGAUAACCUACCUAUAAGACUGGGAUAACUUCGGGAAACCGGAGCUAAUACCGGAUAAUAUAUUGAACCGCAUGGUUCAAUAGUGAAAGACGGUUUUGCUGUCACUUAUAGAUGGAUCCGCGCCGCAUUAGCUAGUUGGUGAGGUGACGGCUUACCAAGGCAACGAUGCGUAGCCGACCUGAGAGGGUGAUCGGCCACACUGGAACUGAGACACGGUCCAGACUCCUACGGGAGGCAGCAGUAGGGAAUCUUCCGCAAUGGGCGAAAGCUUGACGGAGCAACGCCGCGUGAGUGAUGAAGGUCUUCGGAUCGUAAAACUCUGUUAUUAGGGAAGAACAAAUGUGUAAGUAACUAUGCACGUCUUGACGGUACCUAAUCAGAAAGCCACGGCUAACUACGUG